UUCGACCUAACACGAGAAAACUCACCCGGCACGGACACUGUGAGGAUUAACAGAUUGAUAGUUCUUUCCUGAUUCGGUGGGUGAUGGUGCAUGGCCGUUCUUAGUUGGUGGAGAAAUUCUUCUGGUUAACUCCGAUAUUGGAUACACUAGCGUAACCGGCUCCGAAUGGAAAGACAGCUGUCCGCUCAUAUAUGUAUAUAUAAUGUAUUUCUUCCUUAGAACUUUAAGCUACAUAUUCAACUAGUGAUAUGCGUCUCGUUUCUCAGAG
rnacentral:ncRNA from 1 species